UACGGGGGGGGCAAGCGUUGUUCGGAGUUACUGGGCGUAAAGAGUGCGUAGGCGGUUUUCUAAGUUUGGUGUGAAAUCUCCCGGCUUAACUGGGAGGGUGCGCCGAAAACUGGAAGGCUUGAGUAUGGGAGAGGUAAGCGGAAUUCCUGGUGUAGCGGUGAAAUGCGUAGAUAUCAGGAGGAACACCUGCGGUGUAGACGGCUUACUGGACCAUAACUGACGCUGAGGCACGAAAGCGUGGGUAGCAAACAGG
rnacentral:rRNA from 1 species